rnacentral:hammerhead_ribozyme from 1 species
GUAUGGAGGAAGAGUCCCAAACUAGGACGAAACAGCUGUCCAGUAC